UUCAGAUACUGUUUGUUUGAAUGAAUUGAUAUUGACUGGUGUUGAACAUAUGUAGAUGUAGAAAUUUCUCUUGGAAAGUGCUUUGGCUAACUCUAUGAAAGGACAUAUAUGACCAUGAGCUAGCCAUGCAAAAGGAAAAGCAUGAAAACGUGGCAGAAGAGAAGGGGUAUACAGAUGCAUAAGAGGAAGAAAGAAAAGAAAAUGAUCCAAUUUGUGAAAGGCAAAAUGCAAUAUGCAAUAUGCUGGUCUUUAUGUGUAAUACGUUUUAACAAAAGGCUUUUGUCCAUUGCCAAAAAAAGUUGCAUGAUCAAGGCUAUGAUUGGAAAAUGAUUUCCAUUGUGAUGAUCGAGUGUAAUAAUGGUAGGAGUAUAUCUGAUAUGAUAGAGUCGAAUAAUGCUUGGAUUGGUAAUUGAUUUUUAUGAAAUAUAUAUGUAUAGCGAUACAUAUUAAAUUUUGGUACGAUG